CUAAAGGGGUAACGAAGCAAGCUUGGAUACGGUGGAUCUGUAACAGGUCGGGUACGAUAUACGAUGAUGAUAUGCAUGACUUCAUUUCAUAAGAUGCAGGUACAAACACACAUUUCAAAGAUUCACCAGCUUAGGAUUUCUACUCAGUUAUUUUAGAGUGCUCCAUUGUACUAGAGCCUAGAUUUUUGGUAUUGAUCUUUUUGAUGUAUAUAUUUGUUUAGUCAGGGGUAUGGCGGGGGUCCUGUCCCGCCAUAUGAUAUUGUUGACACUCUUAGAGGUCUGUAGACAUAUGUGUGUGGAUUGUGUGUAAGUUUUUUCAGCUACGUCUAUACAAUGUGUUGUGAAUAUUAAUAUGAAAUAAUGACAUCAUUGUCAGCUUGU